rnacentral:lncRNA from 1 species
ACUCCCGGACAUAUAUUUUUAAAAGGCCAAUUGAUAGUGAUCCUUUUAUUUUUGUCUAUUAUUAGAAGUGGUGGGUGGUGGGUGGGGAAAACCUAAAGUCAUAAGGUCACAGAAUAAUGUGUGUUCAAAUCCUGCUCUCAACGUGGAGCCCAUGGACCAGCAGCACCAGCAUCCCCUGAGCGCUGGUUAGACCCUCAGCCCCACCCCAGACCUGCGGAGUCAGGACUUGCUCAAACAGGGCCUGCAGGUGGCCCUCAGGCGCAUCCACGUUGGAGAAGCAGUGGCCAAGAGAAGUCUGGCUUUGGGCAUCAGAAGCCCGGGACCCUGCUCAAAGCAUGUCCACGUACAAUCUGGCGGCCUUGGGUGCGCACUUCACUGUCUGCUGGGCUCCGUUUCCUCCUCACUGCAGGGAGGUUAGAAUGAUGCUGCCCGUCUCUGCUCUCUUAAACGUCCUCUCUUUUUCCGAGUGCAUGUCACUCCCACCACCUCAUUCCUUAUCCUUCAAACCAAACUCUCUGGGCUUGGAUGGAAGGUGCUGGGGAGCUGAUACUCUGGGUGCUGUAGAAUUUCUGAUGUGCUCAGCGGAGAUGCCCUUCUCUCUUUCUCUCUUUGGCCACGCCCACAGGGUGGGGAAUUCCUGGACCAGGGAUCGAACCCACGCCACAGCAGUGACAAUGCCGGAUCCUGAGCCACCAGGGAGCUCCAAGAUGCUCUUCUCUUCACAGAGUGUUACGGAUGCCCACCACCUGUCCCAUGCCAGGGGACCGUGCUGGUUCUCUAUGUGUGUGUAAACUUCUCAUCCACCUUCAGCAGGGCGUGUGCUUUGAGCAGGCUGACCUACAGACCAAGUUCCUGUCAUCUUCGGCCAGGUCCCUUCUGGGACCAGCGGUUCCAGGUGCAGGAAGGCAGGUGCCUUUGAGGGACAUGUCAUUUCUUAUGAUGAACGUUGCUCUUGCAUUGUACUGACUGGUCCAUACGCGCAUCGGGGGUCAGGUGCUUGGCCUAGCAUCCUGUAGCAAAGCACACAGCUCUGUGGCCUGGGCCCUGGACUCCGGAAUCUUGACCAUCUCUCAUUUUGGCUCAGCCAUUUUAUUGCACUUUGAAGAUACUGUGACUUUUUUACAAAUGGAAGGUUUUUGACCACCCUGAAACAAGUAAUUCUAAUUGGAGCCCUUUUUCCAGCAGCAUUUGCUCAUUUUGCAACUCCAUGUCACAUGUUGGUAAUUUCUGCAGUAUUUCAAACUUUUGCAUUAUUAUUAUAUUUGUUACACUGGAUCCGUGAUCCAUAAUCUCUAAUGUUCUGAUUGCAAAAAGAUUACCCCUCCCUCAAGGUUCGAUGGUAGGUAGCAUUUUUUAGCAACAAUUAAGGU